rnacentral:rRNA from 1 species
CCCUUAGACGUCCUGGGCCGCACGCGUGCUACACUGAUACGUACAACAAGGUAUAUGCAUUCAUGCAUCGAUGCUGCUCCGAAAUAGACACAGCUAAAUCUUCUAAAAUACGUAUCGUGCUGCGGAUAGAUCGUUGAAAUUAUGGAUCUUGAAGGUGGAAUUCCUAGUAAGCGCGGGUCAUCAACCCGCGUUGAUUACGUCCCUGCCCUUUGUACACACCGCCCGUCGCUCCUACCAAUUUCGAGUGGCUCGGUGAACCUCUUUGGACUGUCGAGCAAUCGCGAAAUUAGAGUGAACCUGGUCACUUAGAGGAAGGAGAAGUCGUANCA